rnacentral:rRNA from 1 species
UUUACCUACGGGGGGCAGCAGUGGGGGAUAUUGCACAAUGGGGGAAACCCUGAUGCAGCGACGCCGCGUGAGUGAAGAAGUAUUUCGGUACGUAAACUUCUAUCAGCAGGGAAGAAAAUGACGGUACCUGACCAAGAAGCCCCGGCUAACUACGUGCCAGCAGCCGCGGUAAUACGUAGGGGGCAAGCGUUAUCCGGAUUUACUGGGCGUAAAGGGAGCGUAGACGGCCGUGCAAGUCUGAUGUGAAAACCCGGG